GAUGAACGCUGGCGGCGUGCUUAACACAUGCAAGUCGAACGGUGAAGGCGGAGCUUGCUCUGCUGGAUCAGUGGCGAACGGGUGAGUAACACGUGAGCAAUCUGCCCCUGACUCUGGGAUAAGCGCUGGAAACGGCGUCUAAUACUGGAUACGAGCUGCGAAGGCAUCUUCAGCAGCUGGAAAGAACUUCGGUCAGGGAUGAGCUCGCGGCCUAUCAGCUUGUUGGUGAGGUAACGGCUCACCAAGGCGUCGACGGGUAGCCGGCCUGAGAGGGUGACCGGCCACACUGGGACUGAGAUACGGCCCAGACUCCUACGGGAGGCAGCAGUGGGGAAUAUUGCACAAUGGGCGAAAGCCUGAUGCAGCAACGCCGCGUGAGGGACGACGGCCUUCGGGUUGUAAACCUCUUUUAGCAGGGAAGAAGCGAAAGUGACGGUACCUGCAGAAAAAGCGCCGGCUAACUACGUG
rnacentral:rRNA from 1 species